GCCGUGGCCUAGUGGUAGAGCAUCCGCUUUGCAAGCAGAAUUGUCCUGGGUUCAAUCCCCAGCAUCUCCA